UUUGAGACAGAGAGAGAGAUUGAGGCAGAGACAUAGAUAGAGAAAGAAGCAGUUUUCAUGCAGGGAGCCGGAAGUGGGACUUGAUCCCAGGACUCCGGGAUCACACCCUGAGCCAAAGGCAGAUGCUUAACUGCUGAGCCAACCAGGCGUCCCAAUAAGUGUAUUUUAUAUUAGGUCACUAGAUUUGUGAUCAUAUAGUAUGCAGCAAUAGAGAACUAAUUCAGCAUAGCUGAUCAUUUCUUCUCUUGCGGAAGCGCACUCUUUUAUCUGACUACCAGAAAACUCCCUUCUCUUGGCUUCCUCUUUCCUCAGUGCUGAUAAUUGUUUGUUCUUCUGUUAGUUUUAGCUCAACAACCCACCUAUGCUAGAAAGCACUGAGACUUAGUCCUCAGAACUAUUUUCUGUAGUCACUUUCAAGGUGACACUGUCUAACCUAAGUAUCAAAUGCAAUCACUGUGUUGAUGAUGCCUCAGGACAAAAACCCUCCUGCCUCAGGUUUCUCCUGGGAUCUCUUCUCCACAGACCCUCAUGGUUCAUUUAUCAUCACUUCUUCCAGGUCACUGCCGGUCAUGAGAUUCUCAGUGAGGCUUUCCCUCACCACCCCAUGUAAAACAACACAUCCUUACUCCACUUUUCUCACCCUUAUUUCUUUGUUCUCAAUACUUUGAAGUGCCUCCACCAGCCUAUUUACAUGUUCGUGACUGUCCUCCCCUGCUAGAGGAUAAACUAGUUUAGUACCUGUCUGUUUUGUUUACUGUCAUGUUCCCACACCUACACCAGCACAAGGGACAGAGUAAUCCUCACAUAAACACUUGCUGAGUGAAUGCAGAAGUGAAUGGAAGCAGCAGGGAGCAGUUGUGAUGUGGAGACCUUCCAUCGUGAGAUGGGGGCUCAGAUCUUGUCAUCUGCACUGGAAUGAAGAUGAGUGGGUUGACUGAAAACACUAUCCUAAGCUAUACUUCCUUUUAUUCUCUCAUUAUUCUAAUGAAUGCAGGAGCCUCUCACACAUCUUCCCACUACCCUUGUCCCCAAUUCUCUCCACCGCCACCUCACACUGCCUGGGAGGAUUUCUAAAUACAGUGCAUUGAUACUGUGUAAGAAGUAGUAUUUCUGUUUCUUACAGUAUUUUGGAGGCUCCUCCAUGGUGCUAUUUUGCUGAAACUUAAGUCAUUCUGAAGCAGUUAUUUUUUUCCCCAAAUGUGUGGUAUUUUAUGUUGCUCUCCACAUAUCCCUUUCCAAAGAGUACCAUGGGUCCUCAAAUGGUUUAUGCCCUUUCUUCCUGGUGAAAAACCUACUUAUUCAAUAGUUCAAAUCAAUGAGGCAGUAGUGACCAUUAUUUCCCCUGUCCCCGACCCUAUGACUUGUGUGCACUUCUCUCAGUCACCACGGGAUCUGUCAGUUGGUUUAUAGGUCUGUUUCACAUGAGCUCCUAGAGCAUAGGAGUAAGUCACUUUGUCUGUGUGUUUCUUGCAGCUGAAAUAUAAAAUAUUCAACGAAUAUUGAAUGACAAUUUGUGUGUGUGGCUUAAUGAAAGAGGUGGCAAAAUGAAAAAUGAAAAAGAACAAGGAAAAUGAGAGAGGCGAAAGGGAUUAGUUGAAAUUGUGUGAAGUUUAUGGAGUAAUCCUCACAAAAUAUAUAGAUCACAAGGCAAAUAAAAGUUAACUCCAGAGAGUCCUGACCUUGACAGAGUUGGUAAAGAAUGAGAGGUCAGAUCAUGGUAAAGUUCAAAAAAGAAAUAAAAAUUGGCUAAGAUGGUGGAAUCUGUGGCCAAACAUAUUAUUAUUAUUAUUAUUAUUAUUAUUAUUAUUAUUAUUAUUAUUUUAAAGGUUUUAUUUAUUCAUGAGAGACAGGGAGAGGGAAAGAGAGAGAAAGAGAGAGAGAGAGAGAGAGAGAGGCAGAGACACAGGCAGAGGGAGAAGCAGGCUCCAUGCAGGAGCCCAACGUGGGACUCCAUCCCAGGUCUCCAGGAUCAUGCCCUGGCUGAAGGGGGCGCUAAACCGCUGCGCCACCCAGGCUGCCCGAUAAUUUAAAAACAUUCUACUUUAGGAUCUUAUAUUCCUAAGGACAACACUGGCACUCAUCACUUUGGAGACAGGCCUUCUUUGGUCCUCCUUGCUCAUGGAACUUCUUUGGCUCUCACUUGCUUUUCUGCCUAACCUAUACUAUUUUGAAUGGUUUCACAUUUCUUCACCAAUAACGAUGAUUCCACACCUUCCUCGACAAUAAUGUCUUGAUUAUCACCAACAUUGGGGUCUGUGUGAUAUAAGGAAAACAGCUCUUAAGCCUCUAUCUUAUCAAAUUAAUAACCAUCAUUUUCUGUUCCAUCAGUACUAAACUUUUUGAAAGGAUACACUAAUCUGUUUAAGUAUUCAUUAUUAACUUAUUUUAAUUAAGUUUAUGAACAUUCUAUUGAAUAAUUCUUAAAAACUUCGUUUUUAUUCCAUUCAAAUCUAUUUCCUCUCCUGUAUCCGUUAUCACAAAACUAUAUGAUGUGACAGCCCAUUUAACUUGGCCACUCUGUGUCCAAAUUUGAUCACAUGUCCCUUUCAGAAGUUAAAAUCCCUGUGUUCAUUACUGAAUAAUAUAGAUAAGUGAUAUCCCUGGACAUCCCUGCCCUGGAUUAGUGUUCUUUCACUGCAGCUUCCUCAGCAUGUGGCCAUUUGCCUGUGGGUCUCUGGACUCAAGAGGGCUGUUUCAGCACCAGCCAUCAGACCCUCAUGCAACAGAGUUCAAAGGAUGGCAGCAUGGACAGCCCUGGUGGCUCAGCAGUUUAGCGCAGCCUUCAGCCCAGGACGUGAUCCUGGAGACCCGGGAUCCAGUCCCCUGUCGGGCUCCCUGCAUGGAGCCUGCUUCUCCCUCUGCCUGUGUCUCUGCCUCUCUCUCUCUGUGUCUCUCCUGAAUAAAUAAAUAAGAUAUUUAAAAAAACAAAAACAAAAACAAAAACAAAGGAUGGCAGCAAAGUGUCAUCAGGGGAACCAGAGACAGUUUUUCUUAUGAUCCUUUAUUAAUUUACACCUAUCUGUUGACCAGAAUUGAGUUACAUGCCCUUUUCUAGGUCAGUCACUACCAUAGGGAAUUCUGUGACUCUGUUUAGUUUGGGCUGACUAUCUUGUAUUCCCUGGGAGAGGCUCACCGCCACAUGAACAAAAUAGUAUUCCUGUUAGUAAAAAAAAAAGAAAAGAAAAGAAAAAA
rnacentral:lncRNA from 1 species